UCAAUUGUUUUAUAAUUGAAGACUGGAAUGAAUGGUUGAAUGAAAUAUAAGCUGUCUUAUUUAUAUUUAUUAGAAAUUAACUUUUAAAUGAAGAGGUUUAAAUAUAAUUGAUAGACAAGAAGACCCUGUUGAGCUUUAAAUAAUUUUGAAAGUGUAUUGUUAUUAAGUAAAUAAAUUUAUUUUGAAAAUUUUUGGUUGGGGCGACUGAGGAACAUAAAAAGCUUCCUUUAAUUUAAUUAAAUGAAAAAUUUUGAUCCAAUAUGAUUGAUUAAAUGAAAUAGUUACCACAGGGAUAACAGCAUAAUCUUCUUUGAGAGUUCAUAUCGAAAAGAGGGGUUGUGACCUCGAUGUUGGACUAAAAUAUCCUAUAAAUGUA
rnacentral:rRNA from 1 species